rnacentral:rRNA from 1 species
UACGUAGGGUGCAGGCGUUAAUCGGAAUUACUGGGCGUAAAGCGUGCGCAGGCGGUCUUUUAAGUCAGAUGUGAAAUCCCCGGGCUUAACCUGGGAACUGCAUUUGUGACUGCAUGGCUAGAGUGCGGCAGAGGGGGAUGGAAUUCCGCGUGUAGCAGUGAAAUGCGUAGAUAUGCGGAGGAACACCGAUGGCGAAGGCAAUCCCCUGGGCCUGCACUGACGCUCAUGCACGAAAGCGUGGGGAGCAAACAGG